ACGAACGCUGGCGGCACGCUUAACACAUGCAAGUCGAACGAGAGAAGAGAAGCUUGCUUUUCUGAUCUAGUGGCGGACGGGUGAGUAACACGUGAGCAAUCUGCCUUUCAGAGGGGGAUACCGAUUGGAAACGAUCGUUAAUACCGCAUAACAUAAUUGAACCGCAUGAUUUGAUUAUCAAAGAUUUAUCGCUGAAAGAUGAGCUCGCGUCUGAUUAGCUAGUUGGUAAGGUAACGGCUUACCAAGGCGACGAUCAGUAGCCGGACUGAGAGGUUGAUCGGCCACAUUGGGACUGAGACACGGCCCAGACUCCUACGGGAGGCAGCAGUGGGGAAUAUUGCACAAUGGAGGAAACUCUGAUGCAGCGAUGCCGCGUGAGGGAAGAAGGUUUUAGGAUUGUAAACCUCUGUCUUCAGGGACGAAAAAAGACGGUACCUGAGGAGGAAGCUCCGGCUAACUACGUGCCAGCAGCCGCGGUAAUACGUAGGGAGCGAGCGUUGUCCGGAAUUACUGGGUGUAAAGGGAGCGUAGGCGGGAUCGCAAGUCAGAUGUGAAAACUAUGGGCUUAACCCAUAAACUGCAUUUGAAACUGUGGUUCUUGAGUGAAGUAGAGGUAAGCGGAAUUCCUAGUGUAGCGGUGAAAUGCGUAGACAUCAGGAGGAACAUCAGUGGCGAAGGCGGCUUACUGGGCUUUAACUGACGCUGAGGCUCGAAAGCGUGGGGAGCAAACAGGAUUAGAUACCCUGGUAGUCCACGCAGUAAACGAUGAUCACUAGCUGUUUGCGAUACACUGUAAGCGGCACAGCGAAAGCGUUAAGUGAUCCACCUGGGGAGUACGCCGGCAACGGUGAAACUCAAAGGAAUUGACGGGGGCCCGCACAAGCAGUGGAGUAUGUGGAUUAAUUCGAAGCAACGCGAAGAACCUUACCAGGUCUUGACAUCGUAUGCAUAGCUCAGGGAUGAGUGAAAUCUCUUCGGAGACAUAUAGACAGGUGGUGCAUGGUUGUCGUCAGCUCGUGUCGUGAGAUGUUGGGUUAAGUCCCGCAACGAGCGCAACCCUGACUGUUAGUUGCUACGCAAGAGCACUCUAUCAGGACUGCCGUUGACAAAACGGAGGAAGGUGGGGAUGACGUCAAAUCAUCAUGCCCUUUAUGACUUGGGCUACACACGUACUACAAUGGCGUUAAACAAAGAGAAGCAAGACCGCGAGGUGGAGCAAAACUCAGAAACAACGUCCCAGUUCGGACUGCAGGCUGCAACUCGCCUGCACGAAGUCGGAAUUGCUAGUAAUCGCAGAUCAGCAUGCUGCGGUGAAUACGUUCCCGGGCCUUGUACACACCGCCCGUCACGCCAUGGGAGUCGGUAACACCCGAAGCCUGUAGUCUAACCGCAAGGAGGACGCAGUCGAAGGUGGGAUUGAUGACUGGGGUG
rnacentral:rRNA from 1 species